CUUGUCGUCGUCGUUGACCGGCCGGACCAUCGCCCUCCCUCCCGCACGCCCCAGAUCCUUCUCCGAGAGUGACUGCUCACGCUCAGAGACACACACCGCGUUCGAGCCUUACGCCAGCACAGCGCUCUACACUAGAGACGGAGAGCCAGAAUCUUUGGCCGGCCGGCCUCGCUUGCCCUCUCCUGGGCUCUCUGAAGACCAUGAUGAUGAUGAUGAUGAUGAAGAGGAGGAGGAGGACUUAGAGAGAUCGGUUCUGUCAGAUGAAGAUGGUCAUGUCUACCAGUCUCUGGAUCGCCGGGGGAGAAGUCCGACCAGAGACGGAUAUGACAUCUACGCCCGGCCUGUAAAACAGAGUGAUGUUCUGUCAGAGGGCAGAGAGGAGACUGAUGACUCUGCCUUCGACAUAGUGUCCCCUCUACCCCCAGAGGAAGCUGAGGUUCAUCAGAUGUUUCCA